rnacentral:rRNA from 1 species
GACGAACGCUGGCGGCGUGCUUAACACAUGCAAGUCGAACGGAAAGGCCCAGCUUUUGCGGGGUGCCCGAGUCGCGAACGGGUGAGUAACACGUGAGUAACCCGCCCUUGACGUUGGGAUAACUUCAGACAACUGGGGCUAAUACCGGCUAGGAGCUCCUGCUGCAUGGUGGGGGUUGGACAGUUUCGGCGGAUGUGGAUGGACUUGCGGCUUAUGAGCUUGUUGGUGGGGUAGUGGCCAACCAAGGCAUUGAUUGAUAGCCGGCCUGAGAGGGUGAACGGCGACAUUGCGACUGAGAUACGGAGCAGACUCGAACAUGGGGCAGCAGUGGAGAAUAUUACCCAGUGGGCGGGAGCCUGAGACGACAGUGCUGCGUGCGGGAAGAAGGUCUUCGUGUUAGAAACCGCUUUCGCCUGUUACGUAGCGUGAGUGACGUUACUGGCUGAAGAAGCACCGGCUAACUACGUG